UACGAAGGGGGCUAGCGUUGCUCGGAAUGACUGGGCGUAAAGGGCGCGUAGGCGGAUGGCACAGUCAGAUGUGAAAUUCCCGGGCUUAACCUGGGGGCUGCAUUUGAUACGUGUGAUCUAGAGUGAGGAAGAGGGUCGUGGAAUUCCCAGUGUAGAGGUGAAAUUCGUAGAUAUUGGGAAGAACACCGGUGGCGAAGGCGGGUCUCUGGGGCCGAUACUGACGCUGAGGAGCGAAAGCGUGGGGAGCGAACAGG
rnacentral:rRNA from 1 species